rnacentral:rRNA from 1 species
GAUGAACGCUGGCGGCGUGCUUAACACAUGCAAGUCGAACGGAAAGGCCCAAGCUUGCUUGGGUACUCGAGUGGCGAACGGGUGAGUAACACGUGGGUGAUCUGCCCUGCACUUCGGGAUAAGCCUGGGAAACUGGGUCUAAUACCGGAUAGGACGAUGGUCUGGAUGCCAUUGUGGAAAGUUUUUUCGGUGUGGGAUGAGCUCGCGGCCUAUCAGCUUGUUGGUGGGGUAAUGGCCUACCAAGGCGUCGACGGGUAGCCGGCCUGAGAGGGUGUACGGCCACAUUGGGACUGAGAUACGGCCCAGACUCCUACGGGAGGCAGCAGUGGGGAAUAUUGCACAAUGGGCGCAAGCCUGAUGCAGCGACGCCGCGUGGGGGAUGACGGCCUUCGGGUUGUAAACUCCUUUCGCUAGGGACGAAGCGUUUUUGUGACGGUACCUGGAGAAGAAGCACCGGCUAACUACGUG